GAUGAACGCUAGCGGCAGGCCUAACACAUGCAAGUCGAGGGAGAAGCCCUUUCGGGGGCAGAAACCGGCGCACGGGUGCGUAACGCGUAUGCAACCUACCUUUCACAGGGGGAUAGCCCGAAGAAAUUUGGAUUAAUACCCCAUAAUAUUAUUGGAUGGCAUCAUUUGAUAAUUAAAACUGCGGUGGUGAAAGAUGGGCAUGCGUCCUAUUAGCUAGUUGGAGUGGUAACGGCACCCCAAGGCUACGAUAAGUAGGGGUCCUGAGAGGGAGAUCCCCCACACUGGUACUGAGACAGGGACCAGACUCCUACGGGAGGCAGCAGUGAGGAAUAUUGGUCAAUGGUCGGAAGACUGAACCAGCCAUGCCGCGUGCAGGAAGAAUGCCUUAUGGGUUGUAAACUGCUUUUAUAUGGGAAGAAUAAGGCGUACGUGUACGUUGAUGACGGUACCAUAUGAAUAAGCAUCGGCUAACUCCGUG
rnacentral:rRNA from 1 species